AUUGAACGCUGGCGGCAUGCCUUACACAUGCAAGUCGAACGGUAACAGGUCUUCGGAUGCUGACGAGUGGCGAACGGGUGAGUAAUACAUCGGAACGUGCCUAGUAGUGGGGGAUAACUACUCGAAAGAGUGGCUAAUACCGCAUGAGAUCUACGGAUGAGAGCAGGGGAUCGCAAGACCUUGUGCUACUAAAGCGGCCGAUGGCAGAUUAGGUAGUUGGUGGGAUAAGAGCUUACCAAGCCGACGAUCUGUAGCUGGUCUGAGAGGACGAUCAGCCACACUGGGACUGAGACACGGCCCAGACUCCUACGGGAGGCAGCAGUGGGGAAUUUUGGACAAUGGGCGCAAGCCUGAUCCAGCAAUGCCGCGUGCAGGAUGAAGGCCUUCGGGUUGUAAACUGCUUUUGUACGGAACGAAAAGCCCUGGGUUAAUACCCUGGGGUCAUGACGGUACCGUAAGAAUAAGCACCGGCUAACUACGUGCCAGCAGCCGCCGCAGUAA
rnacentral:rRNA from 1 species